rnacentral:misc_RNA from 1 species
AAAUUCUCAACAAAUUGACAAUGGCCAAACAAGACCCAAUACUUAUUUUGCCAAGAAAUGUUUAUUAAAACCAAGAAAUAGCUAAAAUGAUAUGAGAUUAAAGAAAAAGUAGUAGAGUAUCUAAAUGGCAUUGGGCAACACCGAAAAGAGCGAAAACUCGCGUGAAAGGCUAGGUGACUAGCAAAGGAGGCCUUUAGGCCUUCGAAUUGAUCAAUGGUGAUGGGUUUCAGUUGAAGGAAUGGCACACCUCGAAGUAAUGGCACACCAAAGGUAGAGAAGCAAACUAAAGAAAAAGGAAAAAAAAGAUGGAAAAUUAUGUAUUAAAAAGAUGAAGAAAAUGUGUAGAGAUUUUAGAGAAAGAAAAAUUGAGUAGAAAUUUUAUGAAGAGAGUUUUAUAG